rnacentral:rRNA from 1 species
GCUAUACAUGCAAGUCGAGCGGAUUGAUGGGAGCUUGCUCCCUGAUAUCAGCGGCGGACGGGUGAGUAACACGUGGGUAACCUGCCUGUAAGACUGGGAUAACUCCGGGAAACCGGGGCUAAUACCGGAUAACUCAUUUCCUCGCAUGAGGAAAUGUUGAAAGGUGGCUUUUAGCUACCACUUACAAAUGGACCCGCGGCGCAUUACCUAGUUGGUGAGGUAACGGCUCACCAAGGCAACAAUGCGUACCCAACCUGAAAGGGUGAUCGGCCACACUGGGACUGAAACACGGCCCAAACUCCUACGGGAGGCAGCAGUAGGGAAUCUUCCGCAAUGGACAAAAGUCUGACGGACCAACCCCCCGUGAGUGAUGAAGGUUUUCGGAUCGUAAAGCUCUGUUGUUAGGGAAAAACAAGUGCCGUUCAAAUAGGGCGGCCCCUUGACGGUACCUAACCAAAAAGCCACGGCUAACUACGUGCCAGCAGCCGCGGUAAUACGUAGGUGGCAAGCGUUGUCCGGAAUUAUUGGGCGUAAAGCGCGCGCAGGUGGUUUCUUAAGUCUGAUGUGAAAGCCCACGGCUCACCCGUGGAGGGUCAUUGAAAACUGGGGAACUUGAGUGCAAAAAAGGAAAGUGGAAUUCCAAGUGUAGCGGUGAAAUGCGUAGAUAUUUGGAGGAACACCAGUGGCGAAGGCGACUUUCUGGUCUGUAACUGACACUGAGGCGCGAAAGCGUGGGGAGCAAACAGGAUUAGAUACCCUGGUAGUCCACGCCGUAAAACGAUGAGUGCUAGGUGUUAGGGGGGUUUCCGCCCCCUUAGUGCUGCAGCUAACGCAUUAAGCACUCCGCCU